CCUACGGGCGACAGCAGUGAGGAAUAUUGGUCAAUGGGCGGAAGCCUGAACCAGCCAAGUAGCGUGAAGGAUGACUGCCCUAUGGGUUGUAAACUUCUUUUAUAAGGGAAUAAAACGAGGUACGUGUGCCUUUUUGCAUGUACUUUAUGAAUAAGGACCGGCUAAUUCCGUGCCAGCAGCCGCGGUAAUACGGAGGGUCCGAGCGUUAUCCGGAUUUAUUGGGUUUAAAGGGAGCGUAGAUGGCUUGUUAAGUCAGUUGUGAAAGUUUGCGGCUCAACCGUAAAAUUGCAAUUGAAACUGGCAGUCUUGAGUACAGUUGAGGUAGGCGGAAUUCGUGGUGUAGCGGUGAAAUGCUUAGAUAUCACGAAGAACCCCGAUUGCGAAGGCAGCUUACUAAACUGUGACUGACACUGAUGCUCGAAAGCGUGGGUAUCAAACAGGAUUAGAUACCCUUGUAGUC
rnacentral:rRNA from 1 species